rnacentral:rRNA from 1 species
UACGGGGGGUGCAAGCGUUAUUCGGAUUUACUGGGCGUAAAGCGCGCGCAGGCGGUUUUGUAAGUCAGAUGUGAAAGCCCGGGGCUCAACCCCGGAAGUGCACCUGAUACUGCAAGACUUGAGUAUGGGAGAGGGAAGUGGAAUUCCUGGUGUAGAGGUGAAAUUCGUAGAUAUCAGGAGGAACAUCGGUGGCGAAGGCGACUUCCUGGACCAAUACUGACGCUGAGGCGCGAAGGCGUGGGGAGCAAACAGG